AUAAGAAAGAUAGAGAAGGAUGUAAACUUGGAGAGUUAAAAAAUUUGAAUCAACUUCGAGGGACUCUUAUAAUAAAUCGGAUGGAAAAUGUGGUAAAUGUGGAUGAGGCUCAUAAUGCACAAUUGAAAGAUAAAAUACAUCUCCGUGGAUUGGCGCUAAUGUUUCACGAACCUGAAGGAAGAAUGGAGAAUGACAGAAUGGAGAAUGACGUAAAAGUAUUGACUGCCUUAGAGCUACCACCAAACUUGCAACGUUUAACAAUUAGGGGCCACGAGGGCAACACAAUUUAUCCUAAUUUGCCUACUUUGGGGCAGUUGCCAUUCCUUGAAGUAUUAGAUAUAGGAGGGCUUGAUAAUGUGAAGAAGGUGGGAGAUGAAUUUCUGGGAAUAGAAGAUUCCAAAAACAAGAAAGACUACGGCAUCAUAUUCCCAAACCUGAAAUCUCUCCGAUUUUUAUGGAUGAGAAACUGGGAAGAAUGGAUUGGGAUGGGAGGAACGGGAGAAGAAGAAGAAGAAAAUGAUAAUGGUAUUGUUACAAAUCCGAUAACAAUGCCACGUCUUCAGUCCUUGACAAUUGAAGGCUGCCACAGGCUAAAGUCUCUGCCAAACUACUUGCUUACUGCUCCAUUAUUGAAGAAAUUGGUGAUUUAUCGUUCACGGCUUCUUCAAGAACGUUACCAAAGAGGGACCGGAGAGAACUGGCACAAGAUUUCUCAUAUCUCUAACAUCAUGUUGGAUGGGAAGGUGGUGCAAAUAGACGGUGAACCCCAGUUUUAUUCAAAGACCUCAAAUCAACAAAAUGAAUUUGGAUCAGAAAUCAGUGACAAAGAUGAUGUUGGGGCUGGCUCAGCUGAGUGUGUGGUGGAUGAACGAGUGGAAGUAGACAAUGAUGAGGGUCCAGAGAUCUGUGAUGCAGACAGAUAAUAAGAGCAAGGUGUUGAAGUGGACAAGAUUUUUGAAGAUCACAAAGGAGGAGCUGGUGGACGACCGAAAUUGAGGACCUGGUUUUUUUAGUAAUCACCGUGAGAGAGAAAAGGACAUUAAAAGUCUCUUUUGUGGAUGUUUGAGGGUGGCUUUAGCUCUCUCUCUUUUGCCUCAUUUAUUCACUCUUGCCUCUUAAUCAAAACAAAUAAAUCCUCCCUCCAACCAUCUCCAUUGCGACACUCUUCAGGGAAGGUUUUGAUGGAGUAUGGAGUCGGAUUUGCCCAUUACAAGCCUGCCCUGUAUUGAGCAGCAAGCAGACAGUUUGAACUAGUCUAAAAAGGUUAAGAAAAGAUGUGUUGGCCAAGGAUGAAGCAGAAAGUCAGAAACCUCUUUGGCUAUUAAUGGUGAAGGAAGUGCUGGAGUGUUAAUAAUGUUCGAUCAGCCAGCGGUAUAUGAAUGCUUUUGUUCAUCAUCCCUUGGUGAUUCUCCUAACAGCUCUGGAGGCUUUUAGCUAUAUGAUGGCAUGUGAAAUGACAAUAUCAAUUGGUGCAUCUGGUGCACUUUUUGUACUAUUGGGAGCCAUCGUUUCUAAACUUUUCACUAAUUGGACAAUCUAUGCAAAGAAGGUAGCAUUUUUUUUUUGCUCUUAUUCACGGCUUCUUCAAGAACGUUACCAAAGAGGGACCGGAGAGAACUGGCACAAGAUUUCUCAUAUCUCUAACAUCAUGUUGGAUGGGAAGUGGGUGCAAAUAGACGGUGAACCCCAGUUUUAUUCAAAGACUGAAUCUGGAUCAGAAGUUAGUGACAAAGAUGAUGUUGGGUCUGGCUCGGCUGAGUGUGUGGUGGAUGAACGAGUGGAAGUAGACAAUGAUGAGGGUCUGGAGAUCUGUGAAGUAGACAGAUAAUAAGAGCAAGGUGUUGAAGUGGGCAAGAUUUUUGAAGACCACAAAGGAGGAGUUGGUGGAUGACAGAAAUUGAGGACCUGGUUUUUUGAGUAAUCACCGUGAGAGAGAAGAGGACUUUAAAAGUCUCUUUUGUGGAUGUUUGAGGGUGGCUUUGGCUCUCUCUGUUUUGCUUCAUUUCUUCACUCUUUCUUCCGAAUCAAAACAAAUAAACCCUCCCUCCUACCAUCUCCAUUGCAACACUCUUCAGGAAGGUUUUGAUGGAGUAUGGGAGUGAGAUUUGCCCAUUACAAGCCAGGCCUGUAUUGAGCAACAAGCAGAUUGUUUGACCUAGUCCAAAAAGGUUAAGAAAAGAUGUGUUGGCCAAGGAUGAAACAGAAAGUCAGAAACCUCUUUGGCUAUUAGUGGAAUCCUUAAUUGACCAUAUUCCUCAGUCUGGGGUGCUACAUGGGGCACAACCAUCUGGCAGCGAAGAACCUAGUCAAUUAGAAUUCUCAUUAAUGGUCUUAUAUCUUUCCAACACAUUUCUCUUCCAUUAAUAUGACUUGUGCUUGAAGGAGCUGGUGGAGAAUUUGGGAAUAAGCUAUUGCAAGAUGUGAGUCUGUAUAUCUCAAAAAUCAAGGUAUGGAUGUUAGGGUGUAUUCUCUUGCUUCGGUGCUAAAUUUGUUGUUUGUCAUGCCUGGCAAUUGUGAGCAGAUCACCUUUGAAAGUUAGUAGAGGAAGAACUUGAGGAGUAUUUGUGUAGUAACUAAUACAACUUUAAGGCUUGGCUUUGCAGUUGGUAUUAUGCAUAACCGUGAAAGAAGUGCUAGAGCGUUAGUAAUGUUCAAUCAGCCAAUGGUAUAUGAAUGCUUUUGUUCAUCAUCCCUUGGUGAUUCUCCCAACAGCUCUGGAGGCUUUUAGCCAUAUGAUGACAU